rnacentral:rRNA from 1 species
GAUGAACGCUGGCGGCGUGCCUAAUACAUGCAAGUCGAACGCAUUGUGGUUGAAAUGAUAUGAAGAACUUGUUCAGAUUUGAUUUUCAACAUUGCAAUGAGUGGCGAACGGGUGAGUAACACGUGGGAAACCUACCUCUUAGCAGGGGAUAACAUUUGGAAACAAAUGCUAAUACCGUAUAAUAAUUAAAACCGCAUGGUUUUAGUUUAAAAGAUGGCCUUGCUAUCACUAAGAGAUGGUCCCGCGGUGUAUUAGUUAGUUGGUGAGGUAAUGGCUCACCAAGACAAUGAUACGUAGCCGAGUUGAGAGACUGACCGGCCACAAUGGGACUGAGACACGGCCCAUACUCCUACGGGAGGCAGCAGUAGGGAAUCUUCCACAAUGGACGAAAGUCUGAUGGGGCAAACGCCGCGUGUGUGAUGAAGGGUUUCGGCUCGUAAAAACACUGUUGUAAGAGAAGAAUGACAUUGAGAGUAACUGUUCAAUGUGUGACGGUAU